rnacentral:rRNA from 1 species
UACGGAGGGGGCUAGCGUUGUUCGGAAUUACUGGGCGUAAAGCGCACGUAGGCGGCUUUGUAAGUUAGAGGUGAAAGCCCGGGGCUCAACUCCGGAAUUGCCUUUAAGACUGCAUCGCUAGAAUUGUGGAGAGGUAAGUGGAGUUCCGAGUGUAGCGGUGAAAUGCAUAGAUAUGACACAGAACACCGAUUGCGAAGGCAGCUGACGAAACUGUAACCUGA